AGUGAACGCUGGCGGUAGGCCUAACACAUGCAAGUCGAACGGCAGCACAGUAAGAGCUUGCUCUUACGGGUGGCGAGUGGCGGACGGGUGAGGAAUACAUCGGAAUCUACUUUUUCGUGGGGGAUAACGUAGGGAAACUUACGCUAAUACCGCAUACGACCUACGGGUGAAAGCAGGGGAUCUUCGGACCUUGCGCGAUUGAAUGAGCCGAUGUCGGAUUAGCUAGUUGGCGGGGUAAAGGCCCACCAAGGCGACGAUCCGUAGCUGGUCUGAGAGGAUGAUCAGCCACACUGGAACUGAGACACGGUCCAGACUCCUACGGGAGGCAGCAGUGGGGAAUAUUGGGCAAUGGGCGCAAGCCUGAUCCAGCCAUGCCGCGUGGGUGAAGAAGGCCUUCGGGCUGUAAAGCCCUUUUGUUGGGAAAGAAAAGCAGCAGGUUAAUACCCCGCUGUUCUGACGGUACCCAAAGAAUAAGCACCGGCUAACUUCGUG
rnacentral:rRNA from 1 species